AACGAACGCUGGCGGCAUGCCUAACACAUGCCAGUCGAACGAGACCUUCGGGUCUAGUGGCGCACGGGUGCGUAACGCGUGGGAACCUGCCCUUAGGUUCGGAAUAACUCCCCGAAAGGGGUGCUAAUACCGGAUAAUGUCUUCGGCCCAAAGAUUUAUCGCCUUUGGUUGGGCCCGCGUUGGAUUAGCUAGUUGGUAGGGUAAAAGCCUACCAAGGCGACGAUCCAUAGCUGGUCUGAGAGGAUGAUCAGCCACACUGGGACUGAGACACGGCCCAGACUCCUACGGGAGGCAGCAGUGGGGAAUAUUGGACAAUGGGCGAAAGCCUGAUCCAGCAAUGCCGCGUGAGUGAUGAAGGCCUUAGGGUUGUAAAGCUCUUUUACCCGGGAUGAUAAUGACAGUACCGGGAGAAUAAGCCCCGGCUAACUCCGUG
rnacentral:rRNA from 1 species